rnacentral:rRNA from 1 species
UGGGGAAUAUUGCACAAUGGGCGCAAGCCUGAUGCAGCCAUGCCGCGUGUAUGAAGAAGGCCUUCGGGUUGUAAAGUACUUUCAGCGGGGAGGAAGGCGAUAAGGUUAAUAACCUUGUCGAUUGACGUUAGCCGCAGAAGAAGCACCGGCUAACUCCGUGCCAGCAGCCGCGGUAAUACGGAGGGUGCAAGCGUUAAUCGGAAUUACUGGGCGUAAAGCGCACGCAGGCGGUCUGUCAAGUCGGAUGUGAAAUCCCCGGGCUCAACCUGGGAACUGCAUUCGAAACUGGCAGGCUAGAGUCUUGUAGAGGGGGGUAGAAUUCCAGGUGUAGCGGUGAAAUGCGUAGAGAUCUGGAGGAAUACCGGUGGCGAAGGCGGCCCCCUGGACAAAGACUGACGCUCAGGUGCGAAAGCGUGGGGAGCAAACA